rnacentral:rRNA from 1 species
UACGUAGGGGGCGAGCGUUGUCCGGAUUUAUUGGGCGUAAAGAGCGUGUAGGCGGUUCGGUAAGUCUGUCGUGAAAUCCUGAGGCUCAACCUCGGGCGUGCGAUGGAUACUGCCGGGCUAGAGGGUGGUAGAGGCGAGUGGAAUUCCCGGUGUAGCGGUGAAAUGCGCAGAUAUCAGGAAGAACACCGACGGCGAAGGCAGCUCGCUGGGACGGUACUGACGCUGAGACGCGAAAGCGUGGGGAGCAAACAGG